UUGACCUCGGAUCAGGUAGGGAUACCCGCUGAACUUAAGCAUAUCAAUAAGCGGAGGAAAAGAAACCAACAGGGAUUGCCUCAGUAACGGCGAGUGAAGCGGCAACAGCUCAAAUUUGAAAUCUGGCUCUUUCAGGGUCCGAGUUGUAAUUUGUAGAAGAUGCUUUGGGUGUGGCUCCGGUCUAAGUUCCUUGGAACAGGACGUCAUAGAGGGUGAGAAUCCCGUACGUGACUGGGUGCCUUCGCUCGUGUAAAGCUCUUUCGACGAGUCGAGUUGUUUGGGAAUGCAGCUCAAAAUGGGUGGUAAAUUUCAUCUAAAGCUAAAUAUUGGCCAGAGACCGAUAGCGCACAAGUAGAGUGAUCGAAAGAUGAAAAGCACUUUGGAAAGAGAGUUAAACAGUACGUGAAAUUGUUGAAAGGGAAGCGCUUGCAACCAGACUUGCGCGCUGCUGAUCAUCCGAGCUUUUGCCCGGUGCACUCGGCAGCGCUCAGGCCAGCAUCGGUUUUGGUGGGCGGAUAAAGGCCUUGGGAAUGUAGCUCUCUUCGGGGAGUGUUAUAGCCCUCGGUGCAAUGCGCCCUACCGGG
rnacentral:rRNA from 1 species